rnacentral:rRNA from 1 species
AUUGAACGCUGGCGGCAUGCCUUACACAUGCAAGUCGAACGGCAGCACGUGUGCUUGCACCUGGUGGCGAGUGGCGAACGGGUGAGUAAUACAUCGGAACGUACCUUAUCGUGGGGGAUAACAAAUUGAAAAAUUUGCUAAUACCGCAUAAUACUCUGAGGAUGAAAGCGGGGGAUCGCAAGACCUCGCGCGAUUGGAGCGGCCGAUAUCAGAUUAGGUAGUUGGUGGGGUAAAGGCCCACCAAGCCAACGAUCUGUAGCUGGUCUGAGAGGACGACCAGCCACACUGGAACUGAGACACGGUCCAGACUCCUACGGGAGGCAGCAGUGGGGAAUUUUGGACAAUGGGCGCAAGCCUGAUCCAGCCAUUCCGCGUGCAGGAUGAAGGCCCUCGGGUUGUAAACUGCUUUUGUACAGAACGAAAAGGUUUCUACUAAUACUAGGAGCUCAUGACGGUACUGUAAGAAUAAGCACCGGCUAACUACGUGCCAGCCGCCGCAGUAA